AAAUGGAUAAUCAGGUACAGAAUACAAUCUUGGACCUUCGAAAAGUUCGCCUUUGACCUACAAUAAGUUCACCUUUGACCUGUAAAUUCUCAUAAAAGCGCUUGGAGGAUUGUGUGUAGGUUUUCAACCAACAUUGGAAGCAGGCCAGACAUGGCAGAGGCAGUAAAGAGGUCUCCCACCACUGUUCCAGGCAACUUUUCUAAUAGGUGUCCUGUUGGAGUUUCAUCGGACUUGGCUGCUGGCAUGUUGGAGGACAAGCUGACAGGAACCCAAAGCAGGUUGGACAACGAUUCAGAAGGUCAUAUUGGCAGGAAACUGAAUAUGUGUGGCAAGUUUGAGCACAGAACAGCACAAAAGUCUCACUUAUCAAAACAUGUAAGAACUCAUACCAGUGAGAAGCCCUACCAAUGUGACCUGUGUGACUAUUCUGCUGCUCAAAAAAGUUAUUUGGAUGAACAUGUAGCUAAACACACCGGUGAGAAACCCUACAUGUGUGGGGAGUGCGGGUACAGGACAGCUAACAAAGCAUGUGAAAACCCAUACAGGUGAAAAACCCUACAAGUGUGACCUUUGUGACUAUUCUGCUGCUCAGAAAGUCGCUUUAGACAAACAUGUAGCCAAACACACUGGUGAGAAACCCUACAUGUGUGGUGAGUGUGGGUACAGGACAGCUGACAGGGCUAACUUAUCCAGACAUAUGAGAACUCAUACAGGUUUAAGACCCUACAAGUGCGACCUGUGUGACUAUUCUGCUGCUCGGAAAUUCAAUUUGGACAAACACGUAGCAAAACACACCGGUGAGAAACACUACGUCUGUGGUGAGUGUUGGUACAGGACAGUUAAAAAGUCUGCCUUGUCUGUACAUAUGAGAACUCAUACAGGUGAAAAACCUUACAAGUGUGAAAAAUGUGACUAUUUUUGUACUUUAGAAUCCAGUUUGGACCGUCACAUAGAGAAACAUUCUGGUGAAAAACCUUACAUGUGUGGGUAGUGUGGGUACAGGACAGCACGGAAGUCUCACUUAUCCAAACAUGUAAGAACUCAUACCAGUGAGAAGCCCUACAAGUGUGACCUGUGUGACUAUUCUUCUGCUCAAAAAAA